GAGAGUGAACUCGAGUUUGAAGCUUGGCAGUGUCGUAUAGGCUCUGCCUUUUUUUUGGUGGAUGUCAGGCUGCCGGGAUGGAAUUCAGCCACAAUUGCCAAUGGAAGUGGACAUACUUGUACAGUCGUGAGCUUGGAGACUGAAGCUUUGCCCUACAGCUUAGAAUAUUUUUUAAUCAAGUUUUAGGCCACUCAGUCUUAUUCCCAUUCGAAAUAUAAUCAGGGCCGGAUCCAAAAUUUCCCUACAGGGCCGGGGGGCAUUUUGUCUAGGAAUUUUUGACAAAAGGUCUUUACUGCCAAAUCACAGUAAUUUUUUCUCAGGAAAAA